GAGAAGCUCGCGGCUGAUUAGCUAGUUGGUAGGGUAAAGGCCUACCAAGGCGACGAUCAGUAGCUGGUCUGAGAGGACGAUCAGCCACACUGGAACUGAGACACGGUCCAGACUCCUACGGGAGGCAGCAGUGAGGAAUUUUCUGCAAUGGGCGCAGGCCUGACAGAGCAAUACCGCGUGAGGGAUGAAGACUUACUGAGUUGUAAACCUCGGUGCCUUAAGGAAGAAGAUCUGACGGUACUUAAGGUGGAAAGCAUCGGCUAACUCCGUGCCAGCAGCCGCGGUAAGACGGGGGAUGCAAGUGUUAUCCGGAUUUACUGGGCGUAAAGCGUCUGCAGGUGGUUUCUUAAGUCUGCUGUUAAAUCUUGAGGCUCAACCUCAAAUCUGCAGUAGAAACUAGGGAGACUUGAGUAUAGUAGGGGUAGAGGGAAUUUCCAGUGGAGCGGUGAAAUGCCGUAGAUAUUGGAAAGAACACCGAUGGCGAAGGCACUCUACUGGGCUAUUACUGACACUCAGAGACGAAAGCUAGGGGAGC
rnacentral:rRNA from 1 species